CCUGCAGGAAAGGACAUCAACCGAGACUCCGCAAGUAGUGGCGAGCGAACGCGGACCAGGCCAGUGGCAAUGAGGAAUAAAGUGGAACGAUCUGGAAAGUUCGGCCGUAGCGGGUGAUAGCCCCGUACACGUAGAACACUCAUUGUCCUUGAGUAAGGCGGGACACGUGAAAUCCUGUCUGAACAUGGGGAGACCACUCUCCAAGCCUAAGUACUCGUGCAUGACCGAUAGCGAACAAGUACCGUGAGGGAAAGGUGAAAAGCACCCCGACAAGGGGAGUGAAAUAGAACCUGAAACCGGAUGCCUACAAACAGUCGGAGCCCGCAAGGGUGACGGCGUACCUUUUGUAUAAUGGGUCAACGACUUAGUGUGGCAUGCAAGCUUAAGCCGGUAGGUGGAGGCGUAGCGAAAGCGAGUCUGAACAGGGCGCUUUAGUAUGUCGCAUUAGACCCGAAACCGAGUGAUCUAGCCAUGAGCAGGUUGAAGGUUGGGUAACACCAACUGGAGGACCGAACCCGCAUCUGUUGCAAUAGAUUGGGAUGACUUGUGGCUAGGGGUGAAAGGCCAAUCAAACUCGGAAAUAGCUGGUUCUCCGCGAAAACUAUUUAGGUAGUGCGUCGACCGAAUACCCUCGGGGGUAGAGCACUGGAUGGGCUAUGGGGACUCACCGUCUUACUGAUC
rnacentral:rRNA from 1 species